AUGAGGAUAAAAGUAAAAUUACUAAAUCAGCAGAAGAUCAGGAUAACGGUGAAAGUUCAAAGGGCAAAAACAAGAGAGGACAAGAUGGUAGUGAAGAUGAUUUUAAACCAACUAAACCAGCAAAAGUUCCUAAAAAAGCUACUAAAUCUUCAGAACCUAAAAACAUAGCCAAAACUCCUGGAAUUGAAAAGUUAGAUUUUAGCAAUAAAUCAACUAACUCUAGUGGUAAGCCUUGGAACUUUAAAAUCUCUUCCUGGAAUAUCAAUGGUGUUCGAGCUUGGCUUGAGAAGGACGGCCUUUCAUACAUUAAUCAUGAAAAGCCAGACAUUAUUGCUUUGCAAGAGACGAAAUGUUCUGAUGAUAAACUACCUGAAGAAGUUACAAAAAUUGAUGGCUAUCAUUGUUAUUGGGUUGCUGGAGACAAAGAUGGAUAUUCAGGAGUUGGUCUUUUAUCAAAGCAAGAACCAAUUGAAGUGAAGUAUGGAAUCGGUAUUGAUCAACAUGACAAUGAAGGCCGAGUCAUUACUACUGAAUAUGAAAAUUUUUUUGUUGUUGCUGCCU